rnacentral:rRNA from 1 species
CCCUUAGAUGUCCUGGGCCGCACGCGCGCUACACUGAUGCAUUCAACGAGUAUUUCCUUGGCCGAGAGGCCUGGGCAAUCUUUUAAACCUGCAUCGUGAUAGGGAUAGAUUAUUGCAAUUAUUAAUCUUGAACGAGGAAUUCCUAGUAAACGCAAAUCAUCAAUUUGCAUUGAUUACGUCCCUGCCCUUUGUACACACCGCCCGUCGCACCUACCGAUUGAAUGGUCCGGUGAAAUCUCGGGAUUGUGGCCAGUUCACUUUAUUGGGAGUUGGCUGCGAGAACUCGCUUAAACCUUAUCAUUUAGAGGAAGGUGAAGUCGUAACA